rnacentral:rRNA from 1 species
GACGAACGCUGGCGGCGUGCCUAAUACAUGCAAGUCGAGCGAAGUUUUUCUGGUGCUUGCGCUAGAAAAACUUAGCGGCGAACGGGUGAGUAACACGUAAAGAACCUGCCUCAUAGACUGGGACAACGAUUGGAAACGAUAGCUAAUACCGUGUAACAGUAUUUCUCGCAUGAGAGAUAUAUAAAAGUUUGUGAUGCUAACACUAUGAGAUGGCUUUGCGGUGCAUUAGCUAGUUGGUGGGGUAAAGGCCCACCAAGGCGACGAUGCAUAGCCGACCUGAGCGGGGGAUAGGCCACACUGGGACUGGAACGCCGCCCCGGCUCCUACGGGAGGCAGCAGUAGGCAAUCUUCCGCAAAGGGCGAAAGCCUGACGGAACAACGCCGCGUCAGUGAAAAAGGAUUUCGGUGCGUAAAGCUCUGUUGCUAGGGAAGAACGGCUAUGUAGUAACAAUAAAUGUGAGAGACGGUACCUAAACAGAAAGCGACGGCUAACUACGUG